AACGAUGAAUGCUAAGUGUUGGAGGGUUUCCCCCUUCAGUGCUGCAGCUAACGCAUUAAGCAUUCCGCUGGGGAGUACGGCCGCAAGGCUGAAACUCAAAGGAAUUGACGGGGGCCCGCACAAGCGGUGGAGCAUGUGGUUUAAUUCGAAGCUACGCGAAGAACCUUACCAGGUCUUGACAUACUAUGCAAAUCUAAGAGAUUAGACGUUCCCUUCGGGGACAUGGAUACAGGUGGUGCAUGGUUGUCGUCAGCUCGUGUCGUGAGAUGUUGGGUUAAGUCCCGCAACGAGCGCAACCCUUAUUAUCAGUUGCCAGCAUUAAGUUGGGCACUCUGGUGAGACUGCCGGUGACAAACCGGAGGAAGGUGGGGAUGACGUCAAAUCAUCAUGCCCCUUAUGACCUGGGCUACACACGUGCUACAAUGGAUGGUACAACGAGUUGCGAACUCGCGAGAGUAAGCUAAUCUCUUAAAGCCAUUCUCAGUUCGGAUUGUAGGCUGCAACUCGCCUACAUGAAGUCGGAAUCGCUAGUAAUCGCGGAUCAGCAUGCCGCGGUGAAUACGUUCCCGGGCCUUGUACACACCGCCCGUCACACCAUGAGAGUUUGUAACACCCAAAGUCGGUGGGGUAACCUUUAGGAACCAGCCGCCUAAGGUGGGACAGAUGAUUAGGGUGAAGUCGUAACAAGGUAACCA
rnacentral:rRNA from 1 species